GUGCCAGCAGCCGCGGUAAUACAGAGGGUGCGAACGUUGCUCGGAAUUACUGGGCGUAAAGCGCAUGUAGGCGGGUCGGCAAGUCAGAUGUGAAAUCCCCGGGCUCAACCCGGGAACUGCAUCUGAAACUGCCGGUCUUGAGUACUGGAGAGGGUGGCGGAAUUCCUGGUGUAGAGGUGAAAUUCGUAGAUAUCAGGAGGAACACCGGUGGCGAAGGCGGCCACCUGGACAGUCACUGACGCUGAGAUGCGAAAGCGUGGGGAGCAAACAGGAUUAGAAACCCUCGUAGUCC
rnacentral:rRNA from 1 species